rnacentral:rRNA from 1 species
UACAGAGGUCCCGAGCGUUGUUCGGAUUCACUGGGCGUAAAGGGUGCGUAGGCGGUCGGGUAAGUCUGAUGUGAAAUCUCACAGCUUAACUGUGAAACUGCAUUGGAUACUAUUCGGCUUGAGAGUUGGAGGGGGACUGGAAUUCUUGGUGUAGCAGUGAAAUGCGUAGAUAUCAAGAGGAACACCAGUGGCGAAGGCGAGUCCCUGGACAACUUCUGACGCUGAGGCACGAAAGCUAGGGGAGCAAACAGG